rnacentral:pre_miRNA from 1 species
CAAGCCAAAACUCCCGGAUCGGUUUAUAAAUCCUCUUUUGCACUGAAUGGGCAUGCUCAGUGGAAAAGAGGAUCUGUAGAUCGAUCCGGGUAUGCGCAAC